GAUGAACGCUAGCGGGAGGCCUAACACAUGCAAGCCGAGCGGUAUUGUUUCUUCGGAAAUGAGAGAGCGGCGUACGGGUGCGUAACACGUGUGCAACCUGCCUUUAUCUGGGGGAUAGCCUUUCGAAAGGAAGAUUAAUACUCCAUAAUAUAUUGAACGGCAUCGCUUAAUAUUGAAAGCUCCGGCGGAUAGAGAUGGGCACGCGCAAGAUUAGCUAGUUGGUGAGGUAACGGCUCACCAAGGCGAUGAUCUUUAGGGGGCCUGAGAGGGUGACCCCACACACUGGUACUGAGACACGGACCAGACUCCUACGGGAGGCAGCAGUGAGGAAUAUUGGUCAAUGGGUGCAGCCUGAACCAGCCAUCCCGCGUGAAGGACGACUGCCCUAUGGGUUGUAAACUUCUUUUGUAUAGGGAUAAACCUACCCUCGUGAGGGUAGCUGAAGGUACUAUACGAAUAAGCACCGGCUAACUCCGUGCCAGCCGCCGCAGUAA
rnacentral:rRNA from 1 species